GGCAUGUUGCCAGAGUGGUUAAUGGGUGAGACUUGAAUUCGCUUUAGAAUUAAGCCAUCUCAUGACUUCGGUCGCGUAGGUUCAAAUCCUGCACAUGUCG